UAUUUUUCAUUUUUCUUCUCUUACCCGUAUUUACACUAGCAUUUAAAAAAAAUUAAAGAUGGUCUACAGUUUAAAUUAACCAUAUUAAAAAUGAAAGGGUUUCUACUUCAGAAACCCUUUCAUUUAGGCAUUAAAGUUGGACUUUUCAUUUAUGAUUUUUUUUUUUUUAAAGUGCUGGGGUUGGAACCCAGGGAUUUGUGAGUCCAGGCAAAUGUCCUAUUACUGAGUUACAUUCAAGCCCUAUAAAAAUUUUGCAAACAAGUUUUUCUUGCUUUGUAUUUUGAUCUGUUUAUCCAGUUGCUAUUUUACAUACGCUGUUGUCGGACAUGGGAGAGAGAAAACUAUUGAGUUACUGAAUUUGUUUCCCUAUUAUUCCUCCUCAUCAGUAUUGGGUACUGAGGGGAAGGCAGUGAGGGGAGCAGAGAGCAGCAGCUGGUGCUGCUUAGCAGUCCACACUUGGAAAGACUAAGGUGGAGCAGUUAGUGACAGGGCUCAUUUGCAACACCAGAUUUAAGUACAUUCUUACGUAGGAAUUGCAUUGAGUUCAAAUCCGUUCUUACAUUUUGAAGGGGAUACAUAAAUCUCACAGUAUACUUUAUGAUCCUUAAAUAAAGUGAUUUAACUUUCUAGGCCUUCUCUAUUAGGUUACUUGUGUGGUUUAUGUAAAUAUUCCUUGAUCGCUUAUUUUAUAGAGUUGCACUGUUAAUUUAAAAACUUUCGGUAAAUAAGUAGAUUUAUCUAGUAUGCAUUAGCACUACUAAACCCCACAGUGAGUUUACAAGUGUAUAGUGCUAAGUGUCUGUUAACACAUGAGCUGUGGAGACUGUUGAGUCUGGUUCGGAUGUGAAAAUUACUGUUUGGGGAUCAGACUUCCUCCGCACUUUGGGACACUUAUGUUUUGCAUGUUUAUAUUUUUUUCCCCUUCAACACACUUAAUUGAAAGAAAGAGGAUUAUGCAGGGUUGGUAUUCAAGACAUUUUAGGACAUGUUGUAGUUUAAGUUCUUGAAAAUGUAUAUGAUAAAUUUAUAUUGGAAUAAUUACUAAUUACAUGAUAUUACAUCACCCCAAUGAAGAGAUUAAAAUUGCACACUUGCAUG
rnacentral:lncRNA from 1 species